GGAGAUUUAGCUCAGCAGUAGAGCACUUGCCUAGCAAGCACAAGGCCCUGGGUUCGGUCCCCAGCUCCA
rfam:Rattus norvegicus chromosome 4, whole genome shotgun sequence.